rnacentral:piRNA from 1 species
UGGUGUCUUGAUGAUCGGUUACAG